UACGUAGGUGGCAAGCGUUGUCCGGAUUUAUUGGGUUAAAGGGCGCGUAGGCGGCACCGCAAGUCGACUGUGAAAUCUCCGGGCUUAACCCGGAAAGGUCAGCCGAUACUGCGGGGCUAGAGUGCAGAAGGGGCAACUGGAAUUCUCGGUGUAGCGGUGAAAUGCGUAGAUAUCGAGAGGAACACCUGCGGCGAAGGCGGGUUGCUGGGCUGACACUGACGCUGAUGCGCGAAAGCUAGGGGAGCGAACGGG
rnacentral:rRNA from 1 species